GCUGUUUCAUCGACCAAAGAAAUGGAAUGGAACACUGUAUGUUCCUUUCGUGAUACAGCGGACUUUACGACGGGCAGACCAUGAAUGCAGCAGCAUCUAUGAAAGCACCAUCUUCGUGGUUGAUAAUGAAGGUCAGCAACAUGAGUGCAG